GAUGAACGCUGGCGGCGUGCCUAAUACAUGCAAGUCGAGCGAACAGACGAGGAGCUUGCUCCUCUGACGUUAGCUGCGGACGGGUGAGUAACACGUGGAUAACCUACCUAUAAGACUGGGAUAACUUCGGGAAACCGGAGCUAAUACCGGAUAAUAUAUUGAACCGCAUGGUUCAAUAGUGAAAGACGGUUUUGCUGUCACUUAUAGAUGGAUCCGCGCCGCAUUAGCUAGUUGGUAAGGUAACGGCUUACCAAGGCAACGAUGCGUAGCCGACCUGAGAGGGUGAUCGGCCACACUGGAACUGAGACACGGUCCAGACUCCUACGGGAGGCAGCAGUAGGGAAUCUUCCGCAAUGGGCGAAAGCCUGACGGAGCAACGCCGCGUGAGUGAUGAAGGUCUUCGGAUCGUAAAACUCUGUUAUUAGGGAAGAACAAAUGUGUAAGUAACUAUGCACGUCUUGACGGUACCUAAUCAGAAAGCCACGGCUAACUACGUG
rnacentral:rRNA from 1 species